rnacentral:rRNA from 1 species
UACAGAGGUGGCAAGCGUUGUUCGGAAUUACUGGGCGUAAAGGGCGCGUAGGCGGUUCGUUAAGUCCUGUGUGAAAUCCCCCGGCUCAACUGGGGAACUGCACAGGAACUAGCGGGCUUGAGUUCGGGAGAGGGAAGCGGAAUUCCGGGUGUAGCGGUGAAAUGCGUAGAUAUCCGGAGGAACACCGGUGGCGAAGGCGGCUUACCUGGAC